UACAGGGGGUGCAAACGUUGCUCGGAAUCAUUGGGCGUAAAGCGCACGUAGGCGGUUCGUUAUGUCGGAUGUGAAAGCCCUUGGCUUAACCGAGGAAGUGCAUCCGAAACUGGCGAGCUAGAGUACUAAAGAGGAUCGCGGAAUUCCCGGUGUAGAGGUGAAAUUCGUAGAUAUCGGGAGGAACACCAGUGGCGAAGGCGGCUCGCUGGGCUCUACCUGACGCUGAGGCGCGAAAGCGUGGGGAGCGAACCGG
rnacentral:rRNA from 1 species